UACGUAGGAUGCGAGCGUUAUCCGGAUUUAUUGGGUUUAAAGGGUGCGUAGGCGGGCUGUUAAGUCAGCGGUAAAAGCCCGGGGCUCAACCCCGGCGAGCCGUUGAAACUGGCUGUCUUGAGAUGUCGAGAGGUAUGCGGAAUGCGCAGUGUAGCGGUGAAAUGUUUAGAUAUUGCGCAGAACUCCGAUUGCGAAGGCAGCAUACCGGCGGCGAUCUGACGCUGAGGCACGAAAGCGUGGGUAUCGAACAGG
rnacentral:rRNA from 1 species